rnacentral:lncRNA from 1 species
AUGGAAUAACCGAGGUAUGAAUGAACAGUUUUGAGCACUAAAACACACUAAGGGCUUUGUUAUGGACUGAAAUGUGUCCUCUCCCCAGAGUCACAGGAUUAUGAAGCCAUAAUCCUCAAUGUGACUAUAUUUGGAGCAGGGGCCUUUACAGACAUAAUUAAAUUAAAUGAGGUCAUAAGAGUGGGGCCCUAGUCUGAUAGGACUGGUGUCCUUACAAGAAGAGGGAGAGUCCUCAGAGAGUCCUCUCUCUCGGCAUGGACACAAAAGAAAAGCCAUGUGAGGACACAGAGAGAAGGUGGCUGUCUACGAGCUAGGAAGAAAGGCCUCACCGGAAACCAACCCUCACAGCAGCUCCAUCUUGGACUUCCAGCCUCCGGAACUGUGAGAAAAUAAAUGUUUGCAAUUCAGGCUCAGAGCCACUCAGACAUUGGGAAGCAAGUUUGUCAAGAUGACAGAGAACCGAGGUAAUGGAUUCGAGUGAUGAAACAGGAAGUUCAUUCAUGAGUUUUUGGCCACACCUCCAAAGUGACGACUUAGCCAGAAAUGGGAUAACUGGGUUUCCCUACUUCUCUUUUAUCAUCCUCAAUGAGAGUGACCAAAUAUUAGAGCUAGAUGGAACCUUAGUGAAAAUCUGGCUACUCGUCCCGUCCCACCAGCCUGCCACCCAUUUCAAGUUUGAAGAGACAAAGACACAUGGACCUUAUGUAAUUACUGGGGAUUACCCCAGGAGUCUGUGGCAAAAGUCAGCUUCUUCCCUCCCUGCUUCCCCGCCCUGUCUCUGGUACUUUCUACCAACACUGGGCUGUUUCUGUGAUCACACUUAAGCGUACCUAACCUGCGAAUGCUGUAUAGAAGGUGCUAAUGAACAUGAUUUAGCUUUAACACUCAGUUUUCUAAAGGGACACGUGGGGGCAGCAAAUGUUUAGGCAAAAACAAUUCCAGUUCUAGCCUCUACUGUCUACAUAUGUGUAUACAUUUGGGAAACGUUUGGGAAAGGGAUAUUUGAGAGCUUCUUUUUCUUUUUUGUGGUUUAGUUAUUUGAUGAUAUUGAGAUUGUUUCUGAGCCAUGUGCUUCAACAUCGGAUUGGGGAUUUCAGAAAAAGUUUUAGUCACUGUGAUUCCAUUUAGCUUCCAAAUGUGUCUCUGCUAAGAGACUUAAAAGCACUCAUAAAUAGCACGUGUGUCUUCUUUGCAGUGUUUGCUAAUUUUGAGUCACAUCUUUUUAGAAAAUCAUGAGAUUUGGUGUCACAGAGACUGGAAUAAAUAUAGUCAAACUUAUUGGUGAAGAUUUCCUUUAGCUGUUUUCAUAAUCCAUUUCCAUUGUUAUGAUUAUUGAUGAAUAAAACAUUUUCUUUAGGUAGAUACUUCUUUUUUCCCCCCACCUUGAUUUAAUGUUUCCACUCUUAUUGUCAAGUUUCUUAUUACUCCCUAAUAACUCUCAAUAAAAUAAUGAUUCCUGGGAGAUUAUUCCUGCUUUCCUACUAUCACCUGUUGAUUUGAAAAGACAGAACAAUACCGUAGAAGCUUCACUAAUACAUUGAAAGAUAAAAUGAUAAUACUAAAUACUAAAAUAUGAAAAGUGAUACUAAAAGUGGAGUCCUGGCACUAGUAUUUUUUUUUUUGAGUCUUUAAAUUUUAUUUAUUUAUUUUUGAAUUUUUUAAAAUUAUAUGUUAUGUUCUGGGAUACAUGUGCAGAACGUGCAGGUUUGUUACAUAGGUAUACAGGUCUGGCACUAGUAUUUUGUUGCCACAAAAUAUCAAGCAUGUAUCCAAACUGCUCAAGACACAUUAAAGACACAGGUAAUCUGUAGGCAUAUUCAGGCUUGUAGUUUGCAUUUUUUGGUUUUCUUGUGGCUUUCAGUGCAAGUUGAGGUAAUUCAUGGGAAACAGUCACCAAAGAAGUGCCAGUAUUAGAAAUCCAAGAGCCAUUUCUCUAGCUUCUUCCAGAAUCAAGACUUUAGAGGUAAUUUCUAUCAACACUGGACAUUUCCUGUCUGCAAUUAACAAUGAACACAUAGCAUUAUGUUUAAUUGCAACCUGUUUAAAGCAGAUUGGAUGCUAAGGUUUAAGAACACUCUUCAGUCAAAAAGGUCUUUUAAUCAGGUUUUUAAUCUUGAGCACAAUCUAGGACACAGCAUCAUAGACUAACUCAUUCGAGAAUAGGUGUUGUCAUCUAAUCCUAACCACCCCCACCACCAACAAGCUGAAUAGCUCUGGGCUCAGUAUAUACAUUUGUACUGGGCUCAGUACACACACCUAAGCUGGGUUCAGUAUAUGCCACUUUAUAGUGAGAGGCAUUUUGUAAUGAGAGCUCUGGGUUCACUAUAUACAUUUGUACUGGGCUCAGUACACACAUCUAAGCUGGGUUCAGUAUAUGCCACUUUAUAGUGAGGGCCAUUUUGUAAUGAGAGCUCUAAGGCUCUAAAAUUCUGUGUUUCUGCUAGUUUCUUCCUCAAGAUAAAACUGUGGAACUCAUAGUGAAUUCCCUCUCUUUGGGCAGUUUGAGCCAGGCCGCUAUUUAAUCACAACAUCACAAGUCAGAUUUUUCCUACCUAGUGUUGGCAGUGGAACACACCAGAACUGCUAAGGCCAAGGAAAUCCCAUUUUUUGAAGAGGCUUUCCUUUGUUAGCUUCUCUUUCUAGUAGUAAAGGUAAAAGAAAAAUAGAUGUUAAAGAUAUAAAUAUCUUAGGGGGUUUUUAUUGGUAUAAAUAUUUGUACACAAAAAGAAUAUGUAAUGUAAACUGGAUAUGUAUUUUUUACAUUUUACUUAACCUGAAUUUUACACAAUCUUUGCUUGAAUGCUCC